GACGAACGCUGGCGGCGCGCCUAACACAUGCAAGUCGAACGAGCGAGCGAGAGCUUGCUUUCUUGAGCGAGUGGCGAACGGGUGAGUAACGCGUGAGGAACCUGCCUCAAAGAGGGGGACAACAGUUGGAAACGACUGCUAAUACCGCAUAAGCCCACGGUGCCGCAUGGCACAGAGGGAAAAGGAGCAAUCCGCUUUGAGAUGGCCUCGCGUCCGAUUAGCUAGUUGGUGAGGUAACGGCCCACCAAGGCGACGAUCGGUAGCCGGACUGAGAGGUUGAACGGCCACAUUGGGACUGAGACAUGGCCCAGACUCCUACGGAAGGCAGCAGUGGGGAAUAUUGCACAAUGGGGGAAACCCUGAUGCAGCGACGCCGCGUGGAGGAAGAAGGUCUUCGGAUUGUAAACUCCUGUUGUUGGGGAAGAUAAUGACGGUACCCAACAAGGAAGUGACGGCUAACUACGUG
rnacentral:rRNA from 1 species